rnacentral:tRNA from 1 species
GCCCGGGUGGCGUAACUGGCAGGCGCAGAGGGCUUAAACCCCUCGGCUCUUCGGAGCGUGAGAGUUCGAAUCUCUCCCCGGGCACCC